UGAAAAAUUCUUUUAAUGCCCUUUUCAUGAUGCCCCUUUUCAACUCUACCAUUUUUUUUAACCAUUUUCAUUUUUAUCCUCUUUAAAUUUUUAAUGAUCAUUUUACCCCUAUUUGGAAAUUGUUUUAGGUUAACAAAAUGAAAUAUUAAUAUUUUUCGUCUAAAAUAUUUCAAAAUAAAUUUCCCGCAAAAAAAUUUUGAAAAAAAAAUUCCCGCCAAAUGUUUUCGAAAAAACAAUUUCCCGCC
rnacentral:sRNA from 1 species